UUCAGACUCCAGCAAUUUGAUUCAGCUAUUCUAGUAUGAAAAACCUCACACAACAUAGCCCAUACCAAUGAAGUGCUGUCUUACCAGUCUGGUACAAAACUCUGCAACUCCUCCUUUUCAGAGUUCCCAGCAACCUCUGAUGUCCAUUUAAAGCAGCAUUCCAUUUUUUUUCACAUCGAUUUAAUUGACUGUGCCCCAGAGAUCUAAAGACACAAACCACUGUAUCAUGUUUACAUGGCAAGUUGUUCGCAGUUGAGUGUCUGCAGUUUGGCUCCGAGGAGAGACUAGGGCUGCCCCAUGCUGGACACAGCCAGUUCCAGCAGCUUCCAUGCCACCCCAGAAGACCCACUGCACGGCACAGGAGGAGUGGGAGAGCAAGUGGAUGGGGGUCUGGUAGCCAGUCAAGAACUACACCUAUCAGAUCAAAGAGAAAAAUGAGCAAUUUUACUCAUAUGCUACAGAAAAUGGAAGAUGCAUGCUGAAGAGAUGGGGCCUGAAACAAAAGAAUUUAACUGCCUGUCUAGCUUAGGUGAAUAUAACCCCGUGAAACUGAGAUGAUGUGAAACCCUUUGCUUUACAGCCUGUUAUGCCACAAAGUUCUUGGGUGACAAUAGGCAGGUAACUUAGACCAAUGUUUCAAAGCUAAUUGUGUAUCAUCUUUUCUUUGGGUAUUUGAUUUAACAGUCUCUAUUCCACAUAUAACCUGAAAAUCCCUAUUUUUAGCAGAAUUAAAUUGAUAUUAUGUUUGGCCAGAUGAAGUGCUAGACAAAAAAAUCCCAAGG
rnacentral:lncRNA from 1 species